CGGGACGGGUGAGUAAUGUCUGGGAAACGUGCCUGAUGGGAGGGGGUAACUACUGGAAACGGUAGCUAAUACCGCAUAACGUCGCAAGACCAAAGAGGGGGACCUUAGGGCCUCUUGCCAUCGGAUGUGCCCAGAUGGGAUUAGCUAGUAGGUGGGGUAACGGCUCACCUAGGCGACGAUCCCUAGCUGGUCUGAGAGGAUGACCAGCCACACUGGAACUGAGACACGGUCCAG
rnacentral:rRNA from 1 species